UACGGAGGGUGCAAGCGUUAAUCGGAAUUACUGGGCGUAAAGGGCUCGUAGGCGGCCAACUAAGUCAUACGUGAAAUCCCCCGGCUUAACCGGGGAACUGCGUCUGAUACUGGAUGGCUUGAGUUCGGGAGAGGGAUGCGGAAUUCCAGGUGUAGCGGUGAAAUGCGUAGAUAUCUGGAGGAACACCGGUGGCGAAGGCGGCAUCCUGGACCGAUACUGACGCUGAGGAGCGAAAGCCAGGGGAGCGAACAGG
rnacentral:rRNA from 1 species